rnacentral:rRNA from 1 species
CGCGAAGAACCUUACCAAAUCUUGACAUCCUUUGACAACUCUAGAGAUAGAGCUUUCCUCUUCGGAGGACAAAGUGGCAGGUGGUGCAUGGUUGUCGUCAGCUCGUGUCGUGAGAUGUUGGGUUAAGUCCCGCAACGAGCGCAACCCUUGAACUUAGUUGCCAUCAUUUAGUUGGGCACUCUAAGUUGACUGCCGGUGACAAACCGGAGGAAGGUGGGGAUGACGUCAAAUCAUCAUGCCCCUUAUGAUUUGGGCUACACACGUGCUACAAUGGACAAUACAAAGGGCAGCGAAACCGCGAGGUCAAGCAAAUCCCAUAAAGUUGUUCUCAGUUCGGAUUGUAGUCUGCAACUCGACUACAUGAAGCUGGAAUCGCUAGUAAUCGUAGAUCAGCAUGCUACGGUGAAUACGUUCCCGGGUCUUGUACACACC